CAGCCGCCGCGGUAAUACGGAGGGAGCUAGCGUUGUUCGGAAUUACUGGGCGUAAAGAGCACGUAGGUGGCGAAGAUAGUCAGUGGUGAAAGGCCUGGGCUCAACCCAGGAACUGCCAUUGAUACUGCUUUGCUAGAGUCCGGGAGAGGAUAGCGGAAUUUCCAGUGUAGAGGUGAAAUUCGUAGAUAUUGGAAAGAACACCAGUUGCGAAGGCGGCUAUCUGGACCGGUACUGACACUGAGGUGCUAAAGCGUGGGGAGCGAACAGGAUUAGAUACCCUGGUAGUCCACGCCGUAAACGAUGAGUGCUAGUUGUUGGGAUCUUAGAUUUCAGUGACGUAGCUAACGCGUUAAGNNNNNNNNNNNNNNNNNNNNNNNNNNNNNNNAAAACUCAAAGGAAUUGACGGGGGCCCGCACAAGCGGUGGAGCAUGUGGUUUAAUUCGAAGCAACGCGAAGAACCUUACCAGCCCUUGACAUACUUGUCGCGGAGACCAGAGAUGGUCUCUUUCGGUUCGGCCGGACAAGAUACAGGUGCUGCAUGGCUGUCGUCAGCUCGUGUCGUGAGAUGUUGGGUUAAGUCCCGCAACGAGCGCAACCCUCGCCGUUAGUUACCAUCAUUUAGUUGGGUACUCUAGGGGGACUGCCGGUGACAAGCCGGAGGAAGGUGGGGAUGACGUCAAGUCCUCAUGGCCCUUAUGGGCUGGGCUACACACGUGCUACAAUGGCGAUGACAAUGGGUCGCGACCUCGCGAGGGGAAGCUAAUCUCAAAAAAUCGUCUCAGUUCGGAUUGUUCUCUGCAACUCGAGAGCAUGAAGUCGGAAUCGCUAGUAAUCGCGUAUCAGCAUGACGCGGUGAAUACGUUCCCGGGCCUUGUACACACCGCCCGUCACACCAUGGGAGUUGGUUUUACCCGAAGACGGUGCGCUAACCGCAAGGAGGCAGCCGGCCACGGUAAGGUCAGCGACUGGGGUGAAGUCGUAACAAGGUAACCGUA
rnacentral:rRNA from 1 species